rnacentral:lncRNA from 1 species
UUAACGGAUUAUCUUGAUAGCACCUUUGGAGGCAGCUCUAAAGGAGGAACAGCACCAUGUCCAUGUGUAGUAUGUCGUUCCAUGACAUUUCGGAAAUGGUCGGAUGUUCAGAAACAUUUGCUUCGGAAAGGUUUUGACGAAGGCUUCAUCCGAGAGCAGGAAAGUAUAUGUGAUGGUUUAGCUAUUGAUGAUGAUGAUGAUGUUGUUGAUGAUAGGGCUGCUACCACAGAAUUGGUACAUUCGUUGAUCAGGGGUAGUAUACGUGGAG